GUUCAUGCACUAGAACUGAUAUAGUACAGGCACGGGCAGCAUGAGUGCAAGAGUACUGUAAAGCCCCUUGCACAAUGCAAGGCAACAGGCAAUAAGAAUAAAAAUAGACCAAUCACAAUAGAUUAUUUUUGUAAUAGUCGAUUGUGAUUGGUCUAUUUUUAUUCUUAUUGUUUGUUGCCUGGCAUUAUGCAAGGGGCCUUACAGUGAAAAGAACGCAAUGGUGCAGUAUUCAAUAUGGUGCACAACAGACACAGUAGGCCUAUUAUACCUAAUAUGUUAGUUGAACUACAACUUGAGUCUUUAGAUGAAGUUUUGAUUUAAUACCAUUACCACCACCACUUUUGGUCGAAGAUAAUGAUGAUCAUAAUGAAUUACAAAUAUUUCAUCCAGUUUUUGGAAUGAUUCAACGAAUAGAAUACGUAAAAAUAAAUAAUUAUGUGGAAAACAUAGUCCAAAAUUAUACCAACAUCGAUUUCAUUAUGCACUUUCGUUUAUCAAGAGAAGUAGCAUACGAUUUAAUAAACCAAUUCGUGUAUCUGAGAUAUUUACUUCCUUACAAGGAGGACGUUUAAAAGUUAUUGCAGAAAAACAAAUUUUAUGUUACCUUUGUAGGCCAUGAAAGUGCUGGUUAUCAUGAUGUGGCUGACAGAUUUUGGAUAACUUAUUGGUAUUUUGCAUAAAGUUAUUACCAGAGUAACUGAUUUUAUUAUGUAUUUAGCACCCAAUAUUAUUCGAUAUCCAACUGCGGAUGAAAAAGAAGAAACAGCUUCUCAUUAUCGCAAUGAGAAAGAGUUCCCUGGUGUAAUUGGUAUCAUAGACGGAUCCCACAUUAAAAUUGAAAAACCUACAGAAGAUUCCAAUUCAUAUAUUAAUCGGAAACAAUACUUUUCAUUGCAUAUCCAAGAUAAUUACUAUUUAUUAGGAGACAGUGCGUACCCUUUCUUAAAACAACUAAUUGUUCUAUUUAGGGAUAAAGCACUUGACACAUGCACAAAGAAAUUUUAAUCAAAAAUUAAGUUCUUGUCGCAUAAUUGUAGAGAAUGCUUUAGGUUGUCUAAAACAACGGGUUAGGCAGUUAUAUCACUUUUACGUUAUAUAGUUAUAUAUAGUUACGUGAUAUAGUAAGAAUGGUUCGCGUUAUACAUGCUUAUUGUGUACUUCCAUAAUAUGGCGAACGCAAGAGAAAUAGAAUAUUUUGAAGCUCCAAUGUAGGAUGAAUGUCCAGAUAUUGAAGUACAAGGUUUAAACAUUGAACAACGUAUUGAUGAAGUACUAAGAGAAAAUGAAACCGGAAUAUAUAUUUGUGAUGAAAUAUGUCGCCAAUUAAAUGUUCAAUAAAUACAAUUAUACAUGCAUACAUAAAUACAACUAUACAAAUACAACUAUACAAAUAUACAUAAUAAAUA